AUUGAACGCUGGCGGAAUGCUUUACACAUGCAAGUCGAGCGGCAGCGCGGGGCAACCUGGCGGCGAGCGGCGAACGGGUGAGUAACAUAUCGGAACGUACCCCGUCGUGGGGGAUAACUACCCGAAAGGGUAGCUAAUACCGCAUACGACCUGAGGGUGAAAGGGGGGGAUCGCAAGACCUCUCGCGAUGGGAGCGGCCGAUAUCGGAUUAGCUAGUUGGUAGGGUAAAGGCCUACCAAGGCGACGAUCCGUAGCUGGUCUGAGAGGACGACCAGCCACACUGGAACUGAGACACGGUCCAGACUCCUACGGGAGGCAGCAGUGGGGAAUUUUGGACAAUGGGGGAAACCCUGAUCCAGCCAUUCCGCGUGAGUGAAGAAGGCCUUCGGGUUGUAAAGCUCUUUCGGCAGGAACGAAACGGCGGGCUCUAACAUAGCCUGUCACUGACGGUACCUGAAGAAGAAGCACCGGCUAACUACGUGCCAGCAGCCGCGGUAACAC
rnacentral:rRNA from 1 species